CAGCAAGGCCAUACCACAUCUAAACAUUGCUAGAUUUCUCUCUGGCCAGUUUAGCCGCGCUCGACCAGCAAAAGUCGAACAAUUGAAGGUUUUAUAUUUUCCAUCGUGCUCAGCAGUAAGAACUCGGUGGGGCUGCGAGGGGUCGGACAUAUGUAAGGGCUAAAAGGCACGCCCGUGGUGCAGACUGCUCGCACGUCUGCCGCUGUGCAAUAGCAAAGAAUGUGAGCUCGGUGUGAGAAGGUUGCUAUGGUGCUUCGGUGAGGACUGUUACUGGUUGAGGUUUCCCAAGGGGACGCUACUGAGAAGCUGGCUCACCAAGUCCCGGCCCAGACUGCUGCUGCUCAUCGCGGGGUUGAAAAGGCCUCAGGUGACCCUCAUGCGGAGGAAGAGGAUGAAACGCACGAAAGUAGCAAAGGCCACGUAAGCGAACCUGCAAUCGAAUGCCGCAUUUCACUUGAGGUCUUGGCAAAGAGGAUCUCCCCACCGGAGUUCGAUAUGGAAGACAUGGAAGAACUACGUUUUGAAUCUUUGUCGAAGCAACGAACUAAACGCCAAAGCAAACAGAAAAGAGGUUUACCGUCUUUUGUGAAAACAAGGGAUCUGCAACAGAGAUCUAGACCCCCUGAUUAAAUCGAGAUCUUCUCCUACACGCCCAUUUGUAUAUCUCUUCAAAUCCAAAUUUGUUAUGGUUCAUUAUAGUA